rnacentral:lncRNA from 1 species
UUGCUAAUCUAUUGCUAAAUUACUCCUACCUAAUUAAAAAUUUUGAUAAUCCAUCACUAAUAUAUUUCUAAACAUGAUUAGCAAUAAAUUUUACUGUUUAGCUACAAAAAUUCUCCGAUCACUUGUAAUUCAUACUUUUUUUAAGUAGUGAUUAAUCUUCACUAGGCUUUAUCCAGUAUCCACUGCUAUUUUGUUCCUUUUCUCCAACCAUAGAUACUUGAUAUUUCCUAAUCUUGUCUCUUCACCAUAAGCAAUCCCCAACUAUACUCUAUAAUCUUUAUCUAAUUAAAAGCUAGAAAGAAAGAAGAAAAAAGGAGAAAAAUCAGCAGGGACGACCUGAGGAACAUAUAUAUUAUGCCAAAAACGUUAGAAUUUGUGGUUUUGGUUUGUGUUGUAAGCUGUGUAGGUGCAGAACAUAUAAUGUUGGUGGUGGUCUUGGAUGAACUGUUCCUCCUGAUAGAGAAGUUGAUUACAAAAGUUGGGCUGCAAACCAAACCUUCAAAUCUGGAGAUACUUUAGGUAAGCAUGUUAAAAUUCUCUAACUAAAAUUUAGGCAUCAUUUAUUUUUAUUAAGAUUAAGAUUCGUGAAUUUGAAUAUAUAUUUUGUAUUUAAAAAAUAUAUAAUUUAAAUAAAAUAUUAAUCAUCCAUGAUUUGUCCAAUUGGAUGCAUGUAAAGAUUUGGUGAUAUAUAGCUUAAAUUGAUUUAUAAAAAUUUUUGUUAAAUAUUCAUUUGAUUUGUUAUAUCUGAACAUAAUAAAGAGAAAAAAAAUUUAUCAGGUACUUAAACAAAUUAAUCAAAAAAAUUCAAAAAAUAAAAACUUAGUAGAAUUAUUAGAGGCUUGCGUUAUGAUACAUUUCUUAGACCAUUUCAGUCCAAGUGAUUUUUGAGCGGGCCAAUGACAUUUUAACAUGUCUAAAUUUAACUCAACUUGCUCAGUUGAUAUCUCAGGAAUAUCUAGUAGUAACGUGGCCGACAAUAAUAGUUAAUAGUGAUUGUUGAUGGUGAUAGUUGGUGAUGAAGGAGGCUAAUAAUUGUAAUGGAUGAUAGUGAUAAUUAAUAAAAUAGAUGAUCACUAAUAGUGGUGGCUGGCGAUAUAUAGUGAUGAUUGAUUGUAUUGAUUAUAAAUGAUUGUUUUGGUAAUAACAACUAACUAUGGUGACUAGGGGCGAUAUAAUAGCUAAGGAUGGUGAUUGUGGUGAGUGGUAUUAAAUGAUAAUGAUAAGUAAGGAUGAUGGUAGUUGAUAAUAAUGGGCCAUAACAAUAGAUAAUAGUGAAAAUGGAUAUGAUAGUGUUGAAAUGUUGUCUUUGUAGAAAUCUUUAAAAGGUUAACAUCUUAAUAAUAUAUAUAUAUAUACAUAUAUGCAAUAAGUAAUUGUGUAAAAUAAUAUUAUGCAAUAAUUAAGGUUUAGGCAUAACAUAUUUCCUUGAUGAUAAAAAUUCAAAUCAUUACUAAAAUACAAACAAAUGAGCCUUAGUACUUACUAAAAUACCAGUUGCCUUAGCUAAUCAUGAGAUUUUUGUUUAAAUAGUUCUUUAUAUUCUUUUUUAAUAUUUUACUUAAUUGAUGUUCAACUAAUAGGAAGAAUAAGGGUAAAUCUAAAAAAAGAAAACAUGCCUUUCGAUUCAUUUUAUGUAUUUAAUUUGACUAAGUAACAAGUUUAAAAAUAUAAAAAAGACAUUUAAUUUUUGUGAUCUAAAUAAAGAUGUAUAUAUAACACCAAAACUACCAUUUGAAUCUUCUGGCUUAGAAAUAUCAUGGAAUAUCUAUUAGGGAAUCGCAUUAGCCACAGAAUUAAAAUAUUAGAAUAUAAACUUAGAAAAAUAUAAAAAGGUGACAUUCUUUUUUAACUCAAUUUUUCUAAUAUUAUUUUAAUUUUGAAAACCCAUAUAUUUGUUCAAGAUGGUGAUUGACGUCUCUAUGGAACGAAAUUUUAUCAAAUUUGAAUCCGUAUAAAAUUCGAAUUAUAUUAAAUUCAAAGUAUAUUAGUCUCAAAUAAAUAUUGUGGAUUAAUAUAAUUGAAUUAAUUAUUUAAGUCCAAACAUAUAUGGAUGUAAUUAAAUUUUAAUUUUUAUUGGGCUAGCCCAUUGAUUUGGGCUACAAACGAUAAGCCCACUUUGUUAAACCCAAGAUAUUGUCAUAUUCUAGAGGCCUAAAUGAGUGUCACGUGUCAAAUGACAUGGCAUGUCAAGUCAAGUAAAUGAGCCAAUAGGAUCAUGCCACAUAUCACAAUGAUGCAACUGGCCCAAUGAAAUAAAAAGCUCAUCAAAUGUGUCAUGUUAUUUAAAUCUGAUUGACCAAAAGAAGUUCAUCUUCAUCAUGACUCCUUCCUGGCUACAACUAUAAAUAAGAGUCUCAUAAUUAAGAAAAUGGACCAAGAACUCUAACAAGAAGCAAGAGAAAGAUCGUGGAUCAAACACUGCAAUUUCUCUACAAAGCUCAAGCAUUCAAAUUCAGUUCAUCAAGAUUCAAGAUAAAGACCGCAAGAUUCAAGAACAUACUCAAAAGCCCUUGAAUUCAAGCACAAGUCAAGAUCAAGUCCAUCAAAUCAACAAAUCAAGUUCAAAUUCAAGAUCAAGAUUUAAGCCCUUGAAUUUAUAUUUGAAAAGGCGAAUCAGAGGAUUCAUAGAGAUUGUAACACUCACAUUGAAAUCAAUAAAAUGAUUGUUGCAGUAUUUCUCUUGUCUCGAUUAUUUAUUUUUUUCGACUCGAAAAUUUUAUUGUUCAACAAAUUCUGGC